rnacentral:tRNA from 1 species
UCCUUGGUAGUCCAGUGGUUAAGACUCCAUGCUCCCGACGCAAGGGGCUCAGGUUUGAUUCCUGGUCAGGGAA